rnacentral:rRNA from 1 species
GAAACGGAGAGUUUGAUCCUGGCUCAGGAUGAACGCUGGCGGCGUGCUUAACACAUGCAAGUCGAACGAUUAAAGCCCCUUCGGGGGUGUAUAAAGUGGCGAACGGGUGAGUAACACGUGAGCAACCUACCUCUUACAUCGGGAUAACUCGAGGAAACUCGUGCUAAUACCGGAUACUCCUUUUCUAUCGCAUGAUGGAAUCGGGAAAGCGCAUACGGUAAGAGAUGGGCUCGCGGCCCAUUAGCUAGUUGGUGAGGUAACGGCUCACCAAGGCA